UACAGAGGUCUCAAGCGUUGUUCGGAUUCAUUGGGCGUAAAGGGCGCGUAGGCUGCGGGGCAAGUCGGGUGUGAAAUCUCAGAGCUCAACUCUGAAACUGCACUCGAUACUGCUUUGCUCGAGGACUGGAGAGGAGAUUGGAAUUCACGGUGUAGCAGUGAAAUGCGUAGAUAUCGUGAGGAAGACCAGUGGCGAAGGCGGAUCUCGUGGACAGUUCCUGACGCUGAGGCGCGAAGGCCAGGGGGAGCAAACGGGG
rnacentral:rRNA from 1 species